GUGCUUGCUUCAGCAGCACAUAUACUAAAAUUGAGAUGAUAACAGAGUUUAGACCUCUGCACAAGGAUGACAUGCAAAUUUGUGACGCGUAAAAAAAAAAC
rnacentral:snRNA from 1 species